GAUGGCUAACACAUGCUACGCAAACAACGAAAUCCAGCGGGCUCUGCGGUUCUGGGGACUCGUAGUAAAAGAUAAUGCUCUACCGUACUCUAUUCGUAAGGAUAUGAUGCAUCGUGCCACGUGGGCCGCCUACGCAAUCACCAGUAUUCAAGACUACGCAGUAUGCUGUAUGCAGUUAAUGUGUCCCGCAUAUUCAGAAGUUCUUCCCUCGGAUUGUGUUAAAGGCCUUUUAGAUGUUCUCGACGGAAAACCACCUGGAUCACCGUUUCCAAACGAUGAUAUCUCACAAGAGCAGGUAAAUCCCCACCCGGAAACCGGAUAUUAAAACACAAUAAAUGCGCAUUCUUUUGUGUUUGUUAUCCAAAAAUAAUUUUCAAUAUCCGGCGCUGUACUGGCUAUCCGGCUAUUAAGCACAAUGCACAUAUAUGUGCAUAAACAACCUUGUCCACUCCUGCAAGAGAACAAAAGUUCGGAACACUAGAGAUCAGACUACAAGUAUACUGAAUUUAAUAAGAAACUAGAAUUUUCUCCCAACAAAGGACCAUAAGUGCCAAAAUUAGGUUCUUAAAAGGGAGAGUAGAGUUUCUGGGUAUUUUGCUUAAAUAGACUAAAACUGGAACAAAACCACUAAAAUUCAUAAUGAGACUUGACGAAAAAAAUUUCAAAAAUUUUUUAUGGCGGGUAAAAAUUUCGAAAAAAGGCAAAUUUUUUGCUUAAUCUGAAAUUUCGCCCACUUUUCUUUAUGGUAGCCAUUGGAAUUUAUCUUUUCUGAAAUUAUCACCCUUUAAUCCAUAUUGUAGUAAUUUAUCUGUUGUAAAUUCCUUGAUUGAGACACACUUUGAGUUGAUAAGAAUCCAAUUUUUUUGAUAAUUUUUGGAUCAAAGCAAUUAAAGUAAGUGUCUCAAUCAAGGGAUUUACAGGAGAUAAAAUGUCAAAGUAUGGAUUAAAAAGUGAUAAUUUCAGAAAAGUUUAAUUCCAAUGGCUGCGACAAAGAAAAGUUAGCGACAUUUCAGAUUAAGCAAAAUGCAAAACGUGGCUCUUUUUUUUCGAAAUUUUUGCGCGCCAUAAAAGUUUUUGGGCAUUUUUUGUGAAAUCUAAUUAGGAAAUUCGGUCGCUUUGUUCCAGUUUUAGUCUAUUUGAGCAAAAUACUUACAAACUCUACUCCCCCUUUAAAAAUACUGUUUAUAAUUUCUAGUAUACUGUAUGCUUUAAAAAUUGUCAAAUGUAUCUAGUAAUUAUUAAAUCUCCAGCUCCACACAUACCAACUCCAAUGGCAGCAUGUGCUUCAAGAACACCCGGCAUUUGUAGUUCAAGCCUCCAAAAUCGCAGAACUAUUCCUGGAAACGCGCGUCUCGUUUCUCGAUCAACAAACCGUCGAGCAGGAUUCAAAAGUGGCGGUUAGAGUCGAAAUUGUGUCGAAGAUCGAACAAGUCAUACGGUAUUUUUCAUUGGAGCGCGCUUUUUGACACAUUUUUUCAUAUGCUACUGUUAAUAAAAAUUCAACGAAUAUUUAAAUUUCAAUUAUUGUGAAAUUUUAAAAAAAUUGAAAUCUUCCAAAAAAAAAAGAUAAUGCUCAAUUUAUUAUUUAGUGUUGAAUUUUUUUAAAUGAAUAUCGGUAAUUCUAACUCAUCAAUUUGUAUUUUGUCAAAAUGGAUGAUUAUAGAUUUCGAUAAUAAUUUUCGCUGAAAAAUCGAAAAAAAAAAACAUCGAUUUUGUAUUUCUUUUUUCCAGAAGGACACUAGUUUUUAAUUGUUAAAAUCGAUUUUUUUUCUGCCAAAAAGUCGAUGAUUUCUAAAUUUCGAUAAUACAUUUUUUUUGUGGAAAAAAAAUCUAUAAUUUUUUCAAAACGUCGAUAAUUUCGUAUUAAAAAAUCUAAAGUUUUUGAUUUUUUUAUUGCCAAAUCUCGUGCCAUUUUUCGAUUUUUCAAUGGUUUUCGGGGAAAAAUCGAAAAAAAUGUUCCGAAAAUUAACUAUAGAAUGUGAUCUUUUAUCUAAUUUUGUUUAUAUUGAUGAAAAAAAAAAAAAAUUUUCUAAAAAGAAAAACAAUGGCCAAAAUGUUGAGCUAAUUUUAAAAAAUCGGAAAACCGACACCUUUGAUCUUGACACUUCGCUUUUUUUUGUUGAAAAGUCGAUAUUUUACUUUUUUUUUUUGACAAACCGAUAUAUUAUUUUCUUCAAAUCCAUAGUUAUUGAAAUCAGCCAAAAAAAGUGAUUAUUUUUAAAUUCCAUAACUUUUACAAUUGGUUAAAAGUCGUUAUCAAAAAUCUAUUCUCGUUAUUCCAACAAUAAAAUUUCCAGAUUAAAUGAUGUAUCAGUUCAUCUGAAAGCCAAAAAAUUCCCACCAGACGCAAAUCAGACUGCAAACGACGCGGAUUGUCUGAUCUACGAUCCGAUUCAUUUGGGAAGUGUUGAAGUCAGCAAAUCGAAACCCUUGCAACGUGUCGUCUUGUUGGAUUUGAAGAACGCGAAACAAAAUUGGAUUGUUACAGUCACUAAAGUGACGUUGGAUUUGGGAAACGCUAUCAGAGGAAACAUUGAAUUUGAUGAGAAUGCACUGAAUAGAAAUUGCCACGUGGAGAAUAUUAUCGGAUUGGAGUUCUUGAAGUAAUUGAAUUUUCUUUAAAAAUAAGGAUAUUACCGGAAAAAAAACCUAUUUUUAUUUUCCAGUAAUUUUUUAUUGGAUUAAAAAAUUUUAAAUCUAGCAUUUUCAUUUCUAUUUGGAUAGUUUUUCGACAAGAAAAUUAAAUUAGGGUCAAUAAUUUAAAAAGUUUGAAAAUUCGUUUUUUUUUUAAUUUUCCAAAAAAAAUUGAAAAAACAAAAAUAAAAUUUCCAGGAAAAAGCCCGAGUUGAAAAACUAACUUUCUUUUAUUUUUUUUUGUUUAAUAUUUCUAAUUUUUCGACUUUCGUGAAAGAAAACUGAAAAUCCAAAAAUUGUAAUUUUACAAAAUCGUUUUGCUCGAAAAAACAAACAGCAGAAAAAUCACUGAAAUUUGUAGAAAUAUCAAAUUUAAAAAUCUAAUUUUUAUUCCAGAAUUGGGGUCGCAAAAACAAGUGUGAAACUGGAGAGUGUGGAGAAAGUUGACUGUCUGAUUGGUGAAGUGACAAGCACCGAGCUAACAAUUCGAAACACUUGCAAAUCGUCGCCAAUUCACGGUCUUCAGUUGGAUUUCAAGAGGAAAGAGCAAAAGCAUGCGGAAGCCGCCGCUGUGUUGUUCGUCGAGCAAGAUGGUACCGAACUCAAGUCAGAAUUCUCGAAAAGCGUUUGUGAGCAGUUGGGUGCUGGUGAGAUG
rnacentral:sRNA from 1 species